UACGGGGGGGGCAAGCGUUGUUCGGAAUUACUGGGCGUAAAGGGCUCGUAGGCGGCCAACUAAGUCGGAUGUGAAAUCCCCAGGCUCAACCUGGGAACUGCAUCCGAUACUGGAUGGCUUGAAUUCGGGAGAGGGAUGCAGAAUUCCAGGUGUAGCGGUGAAAUGCGUAGAUAUCGGGAGGAACACCGGUGGCGAAGGCGGCGACCUGGGUAGAUACUGACGCUGAGGCGCGAAAGCGUGGGGAGCAAACAGG
rnacentral:rRNA from 1 species